UGUCAGAAGUGGGAUUCGAACCCACGCUUACAUCAGUAGACCAGAACACCCAACUCCCGCUACGGGAUAUAAGAUUUACUCUUGACUCUGGCGUCUUAGACCACUCGGCCAUCCUGAC
rnacentral:tRNA from 1 species